rnacentral:rRNA from 1 species
UUCCGGUUGAUCCCGCCGGACCUGACUGCUAUCGGAUUGAUACUAAGCCAUGUGAGUCUUUGUAGUAAUACAAGGCAUACGGCUCAGUAACACGUAGUCAACCUACCCUAUGGACGAGAAUAAUCUCGGGAAACUGAGCAUAAUUCUUGAUAGAUCAUAAUGCCUGGAAUGGUUUAUGAUUAAAAUGAUUCGUCGCCAUAGGAUGGGACUGCGGCCUAUCAGCUUGUUGGUGAGGUAAUGGCCCACCAAGGCGAUUACAGGUACGGGCUCUGAGAGGAGAAGCCCGGAGAUGGGUACUGAGACACGGACCCAGGCCCUAUGGGGCGCAGCAGGCGAGAAAACUUUGCAAUGCGCGAAAGCACGACAAGGUUAAUCCGAGUGAUUUCUGCUAAAGAAAUCUUUUGCUAGUCGUAAAACCACUGGUGAAUAAGGGGUGGGCAAGUUCUGGUGUCAGCCGCCGCGGUAAAACCAGCACCUCAAGUGGUCAGGAUGAUUAUUGGGCCUAAAGCAUCCGUAGCCUGCUUUGUAAGUUUUUGGUUAAAUCCAUGUGCUCAACGCAUGGGCUGCCGAAAAUACUGCAUAGCUAGGGAGUGGGAGAGGUAGACGGUACUCAGUAGGUAGGGGUAAAAUCCUUUGAUCUAUUGAUGACCACCUGUGGCGAAGGCGGGCUACCAGAACACGUUCGACGGUGAGGGAUGAAAG